rnacentral:rRNA from 1 species
AUUGAACGCUGGCGGCAGGCUUAACACAUGCAAGUCGAGCGGGGGAAGGUAGCUUGCUACCGGACCUAGCGGCGGACGGGUGAGUAAUGCUUAGGAAUCUGCCUAUUAGUGGGGGACGACAUCUCGAAAGGGAUGCUAAUACCGCAUACGUCCUACGGGAGAAAGCAGGGGAUCUUCGGACCUUGCGCUAAUAGAUGAGCCGAAGUCGGAUUAGCUAGUUGGUGGGGUAAAGGCCUACCAAGGCGACGAUCUGUAGCGGGUCUGAGAGGAUGAUCCGCCACACUGGGACUGAGACACGGCCCAGACUCCUACGGGAGGCAGCAGUGGGGAAUAUUGGACAAUGGGGGGAACCCUGAUCCAGCCAUGCCGCGUGUGUGAAGAAGGCCUUAUGGUAGUAAAGCACUUUAAGCGAGGAGGAGGCUACUCUAGUUAAUACCUAGGGAUAGUGGACGUUACUCGCAGAAUAAGCACCGGCUAACUCUGUGCCAGCCGCCGCAGUAA